rnacentral:rRNA from 1 species
GACGAACGCUGGCGGCGCGCUUAACACAUGCAAGUCGAGCGAGAACCCACCUUCGGGUGGGGGAAAGCGGCGAACGGGUGAGUAACACGUGGGCAACCCACCCUUGGUAUCGGGAUAGCCCGGGGAAACCCGGAUUAAUACCGGAUGGCCCAGCAGCUCUUCGGGGCGGCUGGAAAAGGUAGCUUCGGCCUCCGACCAAGGAC